rnacentral:rRNA from 1 species
UUAGAGUUUGAUCCUGGCUCAGGAUGAACGCUAGCGGCAGGCUUAAUACAUGCAAGUCGAGGGGCAGCAUGGUGUAGCAAUACACUGAUGGCGACCGGCAAACGGGUGCGGAACACGUACAGAACCUUCCUUCRAGCGGGGAAUAGCCCRGAGAAAUUUGGAUUAAUACCCCAUAGCAUAACAGAGUGGCAUCACUUUGUUAUUAAAGAUUUAUCACUUGAAGAUGGCUGUGCGGCUGAUUAGGUAGUUGGCGGGGUAACGGCCCACCAAGCCUGCGAUCAGUAACUGGUGUGAGAGCACGACCAGUCACACGGGCACUGAGACACGGGCCCGACUCCUACGGGAGGCAGCAGUAAGGAAUAUUGGUCAAUGGACGAAAGUCUGAACCAGCCAUGCCGCGUGGAGGAUGAAGGUCCUCUGGAUUGUAAACUUCUUUUAUCUGGGACGAAAAAAGGUCUUUCUAGAUCGUCUGACGGUACCAGAUGAAUAAGCACCGGCUAACUCCGUGCCAGCAGCCGCGGUAAUACGGAGGGUGCAAGCGUUAUCCGGAUUCACUGGGUUUAAAGGGUGCGUAGURKGGGUUGGGUUAAGUCWGUGGUGAAAUCUUCG